rnacentral:misc_RNA from 1 species
AGACUGCACAGUCUAAAUAAAUUUUCAACAAAAUUUACAACAGAUAUGAAAAACUGGACUAGUUCUAUGACACACAGUCUAAAUGUUUGAAAUCAAAGGGACACAAUGUAUAAUAUGUGCUACAUACACCAGACAAACACUAGCCUGAGUACACUCGACAUCCAUGGUGCAAGUAAAAUCCCUUCAAGCUAUCAGUAAAAGCAGCGCAACAGGGCGGAAUAACUCUCCUUAGUGA